UACGAAGGGGGCUAGCGUUGCUCGGAAUCACUGGGCGUAAAGCGCACGUAGGCGGACUCUUAAGUCGGGGGUGAAAUCCUGGAGCUCAACUCCAGAACUGCCUUCGAUACUGGGAGUCUUCGAGUUCGGGAGAGGUGAGUGGAACUGCGAGUGUAGAGGUGAAAUUCGUAGAUAUUCGCAAGAACACCAGUGGCGAAGGCGGCUCACUGGCCCGGUACUGACGCUGAGGUGCGAAAGCGUGGGGAGCAAACAGG
rnacentral:rRNA from 1 species